CGGCGGUAAGAUGGCUGCACUGGUGCUUGGAACCUCCGGUCGACUCCUGCGAAAGACAGCCGAAUAUCCCGCGGCUGGCGGGCUGGUUGCGGACAGAGUUGGCUGUUGGAACUGUUUACAUGGAGAGAAAGCCAAAUUAGGGAAGACAACUCCACAAGUACAAAGAGAAGAUGUUUUGUGUUUCUAUAAUGUGUUGUCAAAAAGUCAAACAAUGCAAGAAACAUUUUUAACAGUACUAGG
rnacentral:lncRNA from 1 species